GAUGAACGCUGGCGGCGUGCCUAAUACAUGCAAGUCGAACGCAUAGCGAAAGGUGCUUGCACCUUUCACGUGAGUGGCGAACGGGUGAGUAACACGUGGACAACCUGCCUCAAGGCUGGGGAUAACAUUUGGAAACAGAUGCUAAUACCGAAUAAAACUUAGUGUCGCAUGACACAAAGUUAAAAGGCGCUUCGGCGUCACCUAGAGAUGGAUCCGCGGUGCAUUAGUUAGUUGGUGGGGUAAAGGCCUACCAAGACAAUGAUGCAUAGCCGAGUUGAGAGACUGAUCGGCCACAUUGGGACUGAGACACGGCCCAAACUCCUACGGGAGGCUGCAGUAGGGAAUCUUCCACAAUGGGCGAAAGCCUGAUGGAGCAACGCCGCGUGUGUGAUGAAGGCUUUCGGGUCGUAAAGCACUGUUGUAUGGGAAGAACAGCUAGAAUAGGAAAUGAUUUUAGUUUGACGGUACCAAACCAGAAAGGGACGGCUAAAUACGUG
rnacentral:rRNA from 1 species